CUUCACUGUGCACACUGCAGGCAACCAGACAUCACACCAGAAAGAGAGCCUGAGGCCGGGCUUCUCUGUGCACCCCACAGGCAACCAGAAAUCACACCAGAAAGAGAGCCUGAGGCUGGGCUUCACUGUGCACACUGCAGGCAUCACACCAGAAAGAGAGCCUGAGGCUGGGCUUCACUGUGCACACUGCAGGCAACCAGACAUCACACCAGAAAAAGAGUCUUGUAAAGCCAGGGUCAAACACCCAGUGAACUCUCGGUGGCAUUGGCAAUGCAGAGGGAACUCUACCAAGCCUGGUCCCCAGAAGCAUUUUAAGACUGUUUAGAUCCUCAGGACAGGGCUGGGUGCUUACCCACGACAGGCAAGGGCUCUACCCUUCACCUUUCCUCCCAUGGUCUUCAGAGGCUAAAAAUGCCCUUUGCAAACUAACGACAAAAACAUCUGCUGAUGACCAGUGUAUGAAGGUGUGCCCAGAUGCAGACGGUGGCAGCUGAGG
rnacentral:lncRNA from 1 species